AACAAACGCUGGCGGCGUGCAUAACACAUGCAAGUCUAACGGGAAUGUCGGCUUCGGCUGACUAGUACCGUGGCGAACGGGUGAGUAACACGUGGGUAAUCUAACCUCGAGUUUGGGAUAACCUUGCGAAAGCGAGGCUAAUACCGAAUAAGACCACGCCCUGUACGCAGGGUGCGGUAAAAGGUGGACUCUUCCUGAAAGCUAUCACUUGAGGAUGAGCCCGCGGCCUAUUAGCUAGUUGGUAGGGUAACGGCCUACCAAGGCGACGAUGGGUAGCCGGCCUGAGAGGGUGUACGGCCACACUGGCACUGAGAUACGGGCCAGACUCCUACGGGAGGCAGCAGUGGGGAAUUUUGCGCAAUGGGGGAAACCCUGACGCAGCAACGCCGCGUGAGUGAUGAAGGCCUUCGGGUCGUAAAGCUCUUUUAGUGGGGAAGAAGCCCUCUGGGACUAAUACUCCCGGGGUCUGACGGUACCCGCAGAAAAAGUUCCGGCUAACUACGUGCCAGCCGCCGCAGUAACAC
rnacentral:rRNA from 1 species